GACGGACGCUGGCGGCGUGCUUAACACAUGCAAGUCGAACGGAAAGGCCCUGCUUUUGUGGGGUGCUCGAGUGGCGAACGGGUGAGUAACACGUGAGUAACCUGCCCUGGACUUUGGGAUAACUUCAGGAAACUGGGGCUAAUACCGGAUAGGAGCGCCUGCUGGAGGGUGGGGGUGGGAGAGUUUCGGCGGUUGGGGAUGGACUCGCGGCUUAUCAGCUUGUUGGUGGGGUAGUGGCUUACCAAGGCUUUGACGGGUAGCCGGCCUGAGAGGGUGACCGGCCACAUUGGGACUGAGAUACGGCCCAGACUCCUACGGGAGGCAGCAGUGGGGAAUAUUGCACAAUGGGCGGAAGCCUGAUGCAGCAACGCCGCGUGCGGGAUGACGGCCUUCGGGUUGUAAACCGCUUUCGCCUGUGACGAAGCGUGAGUGACGGUAAUGGGUAAAGAAGCACCGGCUAACUACGUG
rnacentral:rRNA from 1 species